GUGGGGAAUCUUGCGCAAUGGGCGAAAGCCUGACGCAGCCAUGCCGCGUGAAUGAUGAAGGUCUUAGGAUUGUAAAAUUCUUUCACCGGGGACGAUAAUGACGGUACCCGGAGAAGAAGCUCCGGCUAACUUCGUGCCAGCAGCCGCGGUAAUACGAAGGGGGCUAGCGUUGCUCGGAAUUACUGGGCGUAAAGGGCGCGUAGGCGGACAGCUUAGUCAGAGGUGAAAGCCCAGGGCUCAACCUUGGAAUUGCCUUUGAUACUGGCUGUCUUGAGUUUGAGAGAGGUGAGUGGAACUCCGAGUGUAGAGGUGAAAUUCGUAGAUAUUCGGAAGAACACCAGUGGCGAAGGCGACUCACUGGCCCAAUACUGACGCUGAGGCGCGAAAGCGUGGGGAGCAAACAGGAUUAGAUACCCCGGUAGUCC
rnacentral:rRNA from 1 species